CAAAUAUAUCUAAGAUCAGUGAUAUGUUUACAAAUCUCUUUCAACAUGUUAUUGAAGCUCUCUUGCCCCUCCGGACUGUGAAAAUGUGUCUUAGCCUCCAAUUCUAGGCACUGAAGAGGUCCUCAUUUCUUCCCUUGCCCCAGAGCUCAGCAAACUCCCCUAGAGAGCAGCUGCUGGUAGAGCAUGUAUCUCUAGAACUUCCCCUUUCCCUUGUUCAUGCAAAUGUGUGGUCUCAUCUCUUCUUCAAUAUCUUUUUUCUUAAAAACAAAAACUUAUUUUAGGCUCGGGGGUACAUAUGCAGGUACUAACCCCCAGUGGCUCAGAAUGUGACCUUAUGUAGACAUAGAGACAAUGCAAAUAUAAUUAAGUAAGAUGACAUCAUAAUGGAGUAGGAUCGGCCCUUAAACUACUGGGACCAGUGUCCAGGUAAGAAGAGAAGAGACACAGAUAUACAGAGAGACGCACAAAGAGGAAGGCCGUGUGAAGACAGAGACUGGGAUUGGAGCAACGCUGCUGGGGACAGGAAGCACACAGAGCUCCAGCAACCUGAGGAGGACAAGCCCAACAAAUUACUCUUCCUGCCUCUGCAUCUAAUCUCUUCCUUCCUGCCGCCAUCUGUGCCUGGCAGGACCUCCGCACACAGCAGCGGGGAUUCACAGAGCUACAUGACUUGAGUAAGCUGAAAAAUCUUUCCUGGCCUCCAUCAUUCCAUGUAUAAAAUUGGGAUAGUCAUAGUGGACUUCUGGAUAAGUGAUGGACUGAAUUUCAGGUCCCAGGUGGAAGCACAGAGGCACAAGAAGAAGGAAAGAACAAAAAAAAUUGGGAACAGGGCAAGGAUGCUUCAUCUCACCACUUCUAUUCAGCACCGUACUGGAAUUCCCAUCCCAGUUAAUGCAUGAAGACAUGAAAAGGAAAUGACAGAACAUAACCGGAGUGUGUCCACAUAGACGAGCCCUUGGUGCACGGUGACAGCUGUCUGCCUGGUCUUCUCUGAUCUUGUGGCAUAAUCUCCAACUCAGAAACAGCCAUCUUUACCCAACGGGAGCAGGAGCCAUCAGACACUGUUUCUUACCUUUCCUUGCCUGGACAGUUCUGAGAUACUUCAUUAAACUUGUCAGAAGCUUGCACAAAUCGGAGCCCCAUUUCCCUAAG
rnacentral:lncRNA from 13 species